rnacentral:rRNA from 1 species
UGGGGAAUCUUGCACAAUGGGGGCAACCCUGAUGCAGCGACGCCGCGUGAGCGAUGAAGGUUUUCGAAUCGUAAAGCUCUGUCCUAUGGGAAGAUAAUGACGGUACCAUAGAAGAAAGCUCCGGCUAAAUACGUGCCAGCAGCCGCGGUAAUACGUAUGGAGCGAGCGUUGUCCGGAAUUAUUGGGCGUAAAGGGUACGCAGGCGGUUUAAUAAGUCGAAUGUUAAAGAUCGGGGCUCAACCCCGUAAAGCAUUGGAAACUGAUAAACUUGAGUAGUGGAGAGGAAAGUGGAAUUCCUAGUGUAGUGGUGAAAUACGUAGAUAUUAGGAGGAAUACCAGUAGCGAAGGCGACUUUCUGGACACAAACUGACGCUGAGGUACGAAAGCGUGGGGAGCAAACAGG